CUGCCUGGUUCAAGUAAUCCAGGAUAGGCUGGUUAACACUGCACGGCCUAUUCUUGAUUACUUGUUUCAGGAAC
rnacentral:pre_miRNA from 14 species